GAUGAACGCUGGCGGCGUGCCUAAUACAUGCAAGUCGAGCGAAUGGAUUAAGAGCUUGCUCUUAUGAAGUUAGCGGCGGACGGGUGAGUAACACGUGGGUAACCUGCCCAUAAGACUGGGAUAACUCCGGGAAACCGGGGCGAAUACCGGAUAACAUUUUGAACCGCAGGGUUCGAAAUUGAAAGGCGGCUACGGCUGUCACUUAUGGUUGGACCCGCGGCGCAUUAGCCAGUUGGUGAGGUAACGGCUCACCAAGGCAACGAUGCGUAGCCGACCUGAGAGGGUGAUCGGCCACACUGUGACUGAGACACGGCCCAGACUCCUACGGGAGGCAGCAGUAGGGAAUCUUCCGCAAUGGACGAAAGUCUGACGGAGCAACGCCGCGUGAGUGAUGAAGGCUUUCGGGUCGUAAAACUCUGUUGUUAGGGAAGAACAAGUGCUAGUUGAAUAAGCUGGCACCUUGACGGUACCUAACCAGAAAGCCACAGCUAACUACGUGCCAGCCGCCGCAGUAA
rnacentral:rRNA from 1 species